rnacentral:rRNA from 1 species
GUGCCAGACUCCUACGGGCGGCAGCAGUGGGGAAUAUUGGGCAAUGGGCGCAAGCCUGACCCAGCAACGCCGCGUGAAGGAAGAAGGCUUUCGGGUUGUAAACUUCUUUUAUCAGGGACGAAACAAAUGACGGUACCUGAUGAAUAAGCCACGGCUAACUACGUGCCAGCAGCCGCGGUAAUACGGAGGAUGCGAGCGUUAUCCGGAUUUAUUGGGUUUAAAGGGUGCGCAGGCGGCACGGCAAGCCGGCGGUAAAAUCGCGGGGCUCAACCCCGCCCAGCCGUCGGAACUGCCGGGCUAGAGUGGGCGAGAAGUGCGCGGAAUGCGUGGUGUAGCGGUGAAAUGCGUAGAUAUCGCGCAGAACUCCGAUUGCGAAGGCAGCGUACCGGCGCCACACUGACGCUGAGGCACGAAAGCGUGGGGAUCGAACAGGAUUAGAUACCCGGGUAAU